rnacentral:rRNA from 1 species
GACAGAGGAUGCAAGCGUUAUCCGGAAUGAUUGGGCGUAAAGCGUCUGUAGGUGGCUUUUUAAGUCUGCCGUGAAAGCCCCGGGCUCAACCUGGGAACCGCGCUUGAGACUGGCACGCUCGAGUUCGGGAGAGGAUGGUGGAAUUCCCAGUGUAGAGGUGAAAUUCGUAGAUAUUGGGAAGAACACCGAUGGCGAAGGCAG